GAACGCUUGUCGAGAUUUCGGUUUUGGCGAGAGUGGCGCACGGGUGAGUAGCGCGUGGGAACCUGCCCUGUCGUGGGGGAUAACCGAGGGAAACUUCGGCUAAUACCGCAUACGCCCGGGGGCGACUCCGGGGAAAGAUUGAUCGCAGCAGGAGGGGCCCGCGUCGGAUUAGGUAGUUGGCGGGGUAACGGCCCACCAAGCCUGUGAUCCGUAGCUGGUCUGAGAGGAUGAUCAGCCACACUGGGACUGAGACACGGCCCAGACUCCUACGGGAGGCAGCAGUGGGGAAUAUUGGACAAUGGGCGCAAGCCUGAUCCAGCAAUGCCGCGUGAGUGAUGAAGGCCUUCGGGUUGUAAAGCUCUUUCGCACGCGAGGAUGAUGACGCUAGCGUGAGAAGAAGCCCCGGCUAACUUCGUGCCAGCAGCCGCGGUAAUACGAAGGGGGCGAGCGUUGUUCGGAUUUACUGGGCGUAAAGGGCGCGUAGGCGGUGCGGCAAGUCAGGCGUGAAAGCCCCGGGCUCAACCUGGGAGGUGCGCUUGGGACUGCGGCACUGGAGUUCGGGAGAGGAGCGUGGAAUUCCCAGUGUAGAGGUGAAAUUCGUAGAUAUUGGGAAGAACACCGGUGGCGAAGGCGGCGCUCUGGACCGAUACUGACGCUGAGGCGCGAAAGCGUGGGGA
rnacentral:rRNA from 1 species